UCGUGACAUGAAUGUUUGAGGAACUAACAUUAGUUAUGAGCCUGUCAACACCAAACAAUGCCAAACAUAAGUACAUCUGCUGUCAUCGAGUGGUGUUCUGAUACUGUUUUCCUUUUAUAUUGUUUAUUGUUUUAAUUAAAUUGCAAUAAAUUAGGGCCAAACUACGCGAAUAGGUUGGUAAAAUGAGUAAAGUGAACCGGAGUGGUACGCGGGAAGUAAUUUUUAAAGUUUUCCAGCGAUGUAUGGCGGAGUUCCAAGCUGGACAAAUUUUGUGGGAUUUGGAUGAUGUUUAUGGCCGAACAGCAUCUAUGACCGGAAAAUCAGAGACUAUUGAGCUCAUUUGGGCUAACGUAAAACAAAAAGUUGCAGCACACAAUGUUGGGUCACGUGAUGUGAAGCAACUUGCUGAAGAGGCCUUCAAUAGCAUCACGCCUGAAACAUGGAAAAACUGUUGCAAUCACGUCGAGACACUCGAAAAAGAAUACUACGAGCGAGGACGUCGCCUGUAUCAUGACAUAGACGAGCUGGUGAUUUGUUUAGGCGAUGAUAGCAGCAGCGGUGACAGCAGCUGUAGAGUUGACAGCGCUGCUGAUGAAAGCGGUAACAAGUAAUUUCUUGGUGUAGAAUAUUUGGAAUUUGAUGACGAUUGAUCUAUUUUCUAACUUUCAUAUUUUUACACCCACCAAGAUUGCUUUAACGCAAUCUCUAUUGUUGUUAGUAUAUGUAGUAUACCCGCACUACAGCUACCUCAUAAAACUUAAUUAGUACUUAUCUCUUCCAUCUAGAGGUUGUCCGGUAGAGAUUGGUUUAAGCUAUUGGUUGGGCCGCCUUUUUGUACUUCAUGUUCUGUAAUUUUAUUUAAUGGUGCAAAAUAAAGACAGUAAAUACA